rnacentral:rRNA from 1 species
CAGCAGCCGCGGGAAUACGGAGGGUGCAAGCGUUAAUCGGAAUUACUGGGCGUAAAGCGCACGCAGGCGGUCUGACAAGUCAGAUGUGAAAUCCCCGGGCUUAACCUGGGAACUGCAUUUGAAACUGUCAGGCUGGAGUCUUGUAGAGGGGGGUGGAGUUCCAGGUGUAGCGGUGAAAUGCGUAGAGAUCUGGAGGAAUACCGGUGGCGAAGGCGGCCCCCUGGACAAAGACUGACGCUCAGGUGCGAAAGCGUGGGGAGCAAACAGGAUUAGAUACCCCGGUAGUCCCUGUCUCUUAUAC